UUUUUUUUAAAAACGUGGACUUUUCAUAACUCAGGGGAUUCCCUGAAAAAAUUACCUGCAGGUGGAAUAUUUCAUGGACAAAAUUUUUUCUCCCCUUCCAAAUUCAGUUUAUCACCACUAAAGAACAAAGAUAAACUGGCCUCAGUCCCAGCUGCUGCGUUUGGGUGGAAAUUUCAUCCCCUUCCCACGUUGCUCUUUCCACAUUGUACACUCUUGUGGCUUAUAUCUCAUGUUCUUCUCCAGAGAUUGUAAACUGUAGCUCAUCAGGGGAGGGGGGGAGGGGAGGGGGGAGGACCCAGUCCAUCCUACAACACUGUUCUGCUGGCUGGCCACUUCAUCUCUUCUCUCCAGGACUGCAUCCCUGGCUUACUCCGGCUCUGGUGGAGGUGGGUCUGUCUUAUUUACAUCAAGAUGUUAAAAGUCUACCCAAUGUGCAGACAGAUCCAAAGCUUUUUUUUCUGAACGAAUCAUGUCUUACUAACCUAACCCUAAAUGAUUUUAAUUUUAGUUGAGUUUCUAUUUGUGAUACUUUCCCUUUCUGGGCUCCUACUUUGGUCUUUCCCUUUUCGUCUCCAGACAUGCUAUGCUUCAUAGCUGCUAGGAGAGGGAAGGCAAAAUCUUUUUCAGUUUUCUUUGACUUGGCCAUUUUGAAGACAGUUAGUUAGUGGGCAUAAUUUAUUGCUUUUUAAAAAAGAAAUAUUGUCCAUAUAAGUUUCAUGCUAGCACUCUUAUGAGCUAAUGGGUGAUGUGGCCGCACUGGGUUCAUUUUAAGCUUUGUCCUUUCUCCCCCCUGCCUUGCCCUUUCUUCACAUGCCAUCCAGUGAGGAGCCCUGCUCUCAGAAUUGGAAGUGUGUUUUUUGAGAGGCAGGAGCAGAGCCACUAUCUCCAGUGAACCAGAGAUGGUAGACCUGUAAUUGUGGGAAACUAUCAGUUCUCUUGUUAUGGCCCUGCCGUUCCUUGCUGUGUGUAUAUAUAUAAUACUUUGUCCUUCAUAUGUGAAAGAUCCAGUGUUGGAAUUCUUUGGUGUAAAUAAACGUUUGGUUUUAUUUAUC
rnacentral:lncRNA from 1 species